GAUGAACGCUGGCGGCGUGCCUAAUACAUGCAAGUCGAGCGAACAGACGAGGAGCUUGCUCCUCUGACGUUAGCGGCGGACGGGUGAGUAACACGUGGAUAACCUACCUAUAAGACUGGGAUAACUUCGGGAAACCGGAGCUAAUACCGGAUAAUAUAUUGAACCGCAUGGUUCAAUAGUGAAAGACGGUUUUGCUGUCACUUAUAGAUAGAUCCGCGCCGCAUUAGCUAGUUGGUAAGGUAACGGCUUACCAAGGCAACGAUGCGUAGCCGACCUGAGAGGGUGAUCGGCCACACUGGAACUGAGACACGGUCCAGACUCCUACGGGAGGCAGCAGUAGGGAAUCUUCCGCAAUGGGCGAAAGCUUGACGGAGCAACGCCGCGUGAGUGAUGAAGGUCUUCGGAUCGUAAAACUCUGUAAUUAGGGAAGAACAAAUGUGUAAGUAACUAUGCACGUCUUGACGGUACCUAAUCAGAAAGCCACGGCUAACUACGUG
rnacentral:rRNA from 1 species